rnacentral:rRNA from 1 species
AGCGAACGCUGGCGGCAGGCUUAACACAUGCAAGUCGAGCGGGCCUUUCGGGGUCAGCGGCGGACGGGUGAGUAACGCGUGGGAACGUGCCCUCUGGUUCGGAAUAACUCAGGGAAACUUGAGCUAAUACCGGAUACGCCCCUUUGGGGAAAGGCUUGCUGCCGGAGGAUCGGCCCGCGUCUGAUUAGCUAGUGGUGAGGUAACGGCUCACCAAGGCGACGAUCAGUAGCUGGUCUGAGAGGAUGAUCAGCCACACUGGGACUGAGACACGGCCCAGACUCCUACGGGAGGCAGCAGUGGGGAAUAUUGGACAAUGGGCGCAAGCCUGAUCCAGCCAUGCCGCGUGAGUGAUGAAGGCCUUAGGGUUGUAAAGCUCUUUUAUCCGGGACGAUAAUGACGGUACCGGAGGAAUAAGCCCCGGCUAACUUCGUG